AGAUAAUGUCAUGGGCAAACUGCCUGAUGGAGGGGGAUAANUACUGUGUAAACGGUAGCUUAAUACCUGCAUAACGUCGNNAGACCAAANAGGGGGANCCUUCGGGCCUCUUGCCAUCAGAUGUGCCCAGAUGGGAUUAGNUAGUAGGUGGGGUAAUGGCUCACCUAGGCGACGAUCCCUAGCUGNUCUGAGAGGAUGACCAGCCACACUGGAACUGAGNCACGGUCNAGANUNAU
rnacentral:rRNA from 1 species